GACGAACGCUGGCGGCGUGCUUAACACAUGCAAGUCGAACGAAGUGGCGAACGGGUGAGUAAAGCGUAAUCAACCUGCCCUUCAAAGGGGGACAACAGUUGAAAACGAAUGCUAAUACCGCAUACCGAAGUAGGGGAGUGCGUCUGAAUAGUUAGUUGGAGGGGCAAAGGCCCACCAAGGCGAUGAUCAGGCGCCGUGCUGAGAGGAGGGACGGCCACAUUUGGACUGGGACACGGCCCAGACUCCUACGGGAGGCAGCAGUGGGGAAUCUUCCGCAAUGGAGGAAAGUCUGACGGAGCAAAGCAGCGUGAGUGAUGAAGGCCUUCGGGUUGUAAAGCUCUGUUAAUCGGGACGCGGUACCGGAAUAGGAAGCCACGGCUAACUACGUGCCAGCAGCCGCGGUAAUAC
rnacentral:rRNA from 1 species